rnacentral:rRNA from 1 species
GUGUCAGCCGCCGCGGUAAUACGGAGGGUGCAAGCAUUAAUCGGAUUUAUUGGGCGUAAAGGGCGUGUAGGCGGAACUGUAAGUCAGAUGUGAAAUCCCGGGGCUCAACCCCGGACCCGCAUUUGAAACUACAGAUCUUGAGGAUAGGUGGGGAGAACGGAAUUCCACAUGUAGCGGUGAAAUGCGUAGAUAUGUGGAGGAACACCAGUGGCGAAGGCGGUUCUCUAACUUACUCCUGACGCUGAGGCGCGAAAGCAAGGGGAGCGAACAGGAUUAGAUACCCUGGUAGUCCUUGCCGUAAACGAUGCAUACUUGGUGUAGCCGGUCUCAACCCCGGCUGUGCCGUAGCUAACGCGAUAAGUAUGCCGCCUGGGGAGUACACUCGCAAGGGUGAAACUCAAAAGAAUUGACGGGGGCCCGCACAAGCAGUGGAGCAUGUGGUUUAAUUCGAUGCAACGCGAAGAACCUUACCCAGACUUGACUUGCAGUGGACGGCUACAGAGAUGUAGCUUCCCUUCGGGGCCGCUGCGCAGGUGCUGCAUGGCUGUCGUCAGCUCGUGCCGUGAGGUGUUGGGUUAAGUCCCGCAACGAGCGCAACCCUUAUCUUCAGUUGCCAGCACAUAAUGGUGGGGACUCUGGAGAGACUGCCUGGGUGAACCAGGAGGAAGGUGAGGAUGACGUCAAGUCAGCAUGGCCCUUAUGUCUGGGGCGACACACGUGCUACAAUGGCCGGUACAGAAGGCAGCAAUACCGCGAGGUGGAGCAAAUCCUUAAAGCCGGUCUCAGUUCGGAUUGGAGUCUGCAACUCGACUCCAUGAAGUCGGAAUUGCUAGUAAUGGCGCGUCAGCCAUAGCGCCGUGAAUACGUUCCCGGGCCUUGCACACACCGCCCGUC